rnacentral:rRNA from 1 species
AUUGAACGCUGGCGGCAGGCCUAACACAUGCAAGUCGAGCGGUAGAGAGAAGCUUGCUUCUCUUGAGAGCGGCGGACGGGUGAGUAAUGCCUAGGAAUCUGCCUGGUAGUGGGGGAUAACGUUCGGAAACGGACGCUAAUACCGCAUACGUCCUACGGGAGAAAGCAGGGGACCUUCGGGCCUUGCGCUAUCAGAUGAGCCUAGGUCGGAUUAGCUAGUUGGUGAGGUAAUGGCUCACCAAGGCAACGAUCCGUAACUGGUCUGAGAGGAUGAUCAGUCACACUGGAACUGAGACACGGUCCAGACUCCUACGGGAGGCAGCAGUGGGGAAUAUUGGACAAUGGGCGAAAGCCUGAUCCAGCCAUGCCGCGUGUGUGAAGAAGGUCUUCGGAUUGUAAAGCACUUUAAGUUGGGAGGAAGGGCAUUAACCUAAUACGUUAGUGUUUUGACGUUACCGACAGAAUAAGCACCGACUAACUCUGUGC